rnacentral:rRNA from 1 species
AACGAACGCUGGCGGCAUGCCUAACACAUGCAAGUCGAACGAGACCUUCGGGUCUAGUGGCGCACGGGUGCGUAACGCGUGGGAACCUGCCCUUAGGUUCGGAAUAACUCCCCGAAAGGGGUGCUAAUACCGGAUAAUGUCUUCGGACCAAAGAUUUAUCGCCUUUGGAUGGGCCCGCGUUGGAUUAGCUAGUUGGUAGGGUAAAAGCCUACCAAGGCGACGAUCCAUAGCUGGUCUGAGAGGAUGAUCAGCCACACUGGGGCUGAGACACGGCCCAGACUCCUACGGGAGGCAGCAGUGGGGAAUAUUGGACAAUGGGCGAAAGCCUGAUCCAGCAAUGCCGCGUGAGUGAUGAAGGCCUUAGGGUUGUAAAGCUCUUUUACCCGGGAUGAUAAUGACAGUACCGGGAGAAUAGGCUCCGGCUAACUCCGUG